rnacentral:rRNA from 1 species
CAGCCGCCGCGGGAAUACGGAGGGAGCUAGCGUUGUUCGGAAUUACUGGGCGUAAAGCGCGCGUAGGCGGUUACUCAAGUCAGAGGUGAAAGCCCGGGGCUCAACCCCGGAACUGCCUUUGAAACUAGGUGACUAGAAUCUUGGAGAGGUCAGUGGAAUUCCGAGUGUAGAGGUGAAAUUCGUAGAUAUUCGGAAGAACGCCAGUGGCGAAGGCGACUGACUGGACAAGUAUUGACGCUGAGGUGCGAAAGCGUGGGGAGCAAACAGGAUUAGAUACCCGAGUAGUCCCUGUCUCUUAUAC